AAACCGACACAGGUGAUCAGGUAGAGAAUACUAAGGCGAUCGAGAGAAUCAUGGUUAAGGAACUCGGCAAAAUGCCCCCGUAACUUCGGGAGAAGGGGGGCCCUGAGCGUGAUCUGCCCGUGCGGUGGGGAGCGUGUAGGGGUCGCAGAGACCAGGGGGAAGCGACUGUUUAUCAAAAACACAGGUCCGUGCGAAGUCGUAAGACGAGGUAUACGGACUGACUCCUGCCCGGUGCUGGAAGGUUAAGAGGAGUGGUUAGCCCCUUUUGGGGGCGAAGCUGCGAAUUUAAGCCCCAGUAAACGGCGGUGGUAACUAUAACCAUCCUAAGGUAGCGAAAUUCCUUGUCGGGUAAGUUCCGACCUGCACGAAUGGAGUAACGACUUCCCUACUGUCUCAACCAUGAACUCGGUGAAAUUGCAGUACGAGUAAAGAUGCUCGUUUCGCGCAGCAGGACGGAAAGACCCCGUGACCUUUACUAUAGUUUGGUAUUGGUGUUUGGGUUGGCUUGUGUAGGAUAGGUGGGAGACUGUGAAGCCGCUACGCUAGUGGUGGUGGAGUCGUUGUUGAAAUACCACUCUGGUCAAUCUGAGCGUCUAACUUCGGGCCAUGAUCUGGUUCAGGGACAGUGCCUGAUGGGUAGUUUAACUGGGGCGGUUGCCUCCUAAAGUGUAACGGAGGCGCCCAAAGGUUCCCUCAGCCUGGUUGGCAAUCAGGUGUUGAGUGUAAGUGCACAAGGGAGCUUGACUGUGAGAGUGGCGGCUCGAGCAGGUGCGAAAGCAGGGACUAGUGAUCCGGCAGUGGCGUGUGGAAGCGCUGUCGCUCAACGGAUAAAAGGUACCUCGGGGAUAACAGGCUGAUCUUGCCCAAGAGUCCAUAUCGACGGCAUGGUUUGGCACCUCGAUGUCGGCUCGUCGCAUCCUGGGGCUGGAGUCGGUCCCAAGGGUUGGGCUGUUCGCCCAUUAAAGCGGUACGCGAGCUGGGUUCAGAACGUCGUGAGACAGUUCGGUCCCUAUCCGCUGCGCGCGUUGGAAAUUUGAGAAAGGCUGUCCUUAGUACGAGAGGACCGGGACGGACGAACCUCUGGUAUGUCAGUUGUACCGCCAGGUGCAUGGCUGAUUGGCUACGUUCGGGAGGGAUAACCGCUGAAAGCAUCUAAGCGGGAAGC
rnacentral:rRNA from 1 species